rnacentral:rRNA from 1 species
AAAGAAACCAACAGGGAUUGCCCUAGUAACGGCGAGUGAAGCGGCAACAGCUCAAAUUUGAAAUCUGGCGUGAGCCCGAGUUGUAAUUUGUAGAGGAUGCUUCUGGGUAGCGGCCGGUCUAAGUUCCUUGGAACAGGACGUCAUAGAGGGUGAGAAUCCCGUAUGUGACUGGCCCGCACCCUCCACGAAGCUCCUUCGACGAGUCGAGUUGUUUGGGAAUGCAGCUCUAAAUGGGAGGUAAAUUUCUUCUAAAGCUAAAUACUGGCCAGAGACCGAUAGCGCACAAGUAGAGUGAUCGAAAGAUGAAAAGCACUUUGGAAAGAGAGUUAAAAAGCACGUGAAAUUGUUGAAAGGGAAGCGCCCGCAACCAGACUUUGCGGCGGUGUUCGGCUGGUCUUCUGACCGGUUUACUCACCGCCGUGAGGCCAUCAUCGUCUGGGACCGCUGGAUAAGACCUGAGGAAUGUAGCUCCCUUCGGGGUGUAUUAUAGCCUCUGGUGAUGCAGCGCGUCUCGGGCGAGGUCCGCGCUCCGGCAAGGAUGAUGGCGUAAUGGUUGUCGGCGGCCCGUCUUGA